AGCAGCCGCGGUAAUUCCAGCUCCAAUAGCGUAUAUUAAAGUUGUUGCAGUUAAAAAGCUCGUAGUUGAAUUUCGGGAUUGACCCAUCGGUCGUGCCUUAAGGGGUAUGAACUGGUGUAGUCAAUUUCUCACCUUCUGGAGAACCGCGAUGUCCUUAAUUGGGUGCCGCGAGGAACCAGGACCUUUACUUUGAAAAAAUUAGAGUGUUUAAAGCAGGCAUUUUUGCUUGAAUACAUUAGCAUGGAAUAAUAAAAUAGGACGGCAUGAUUCUAUUUUGUUGGUUUCUAGGAUCACCGUAAUGAUUAAUAGGGAUAGUUGGGGGCAUUAGUAUUCAAUUGUCAGAGGUGAAAUUCUUGGAUUUAUUGAAGACUAACUACUGCGAAAGCAUUUGCCAAGGAUGUUUUCAUUAAUCAAGAACGAAAGUUAGGGAUCGAAGACGAUCAGAUACCGUCGUAGUCUUAACCAUAAACUAUGCCGACUAGGAAUCAGACGAUGUUAAUUUUUAAUGUACUUCGUUGGC
rnacentral:rRNA from 1 species